AGAGCUUGUAACUUCCAAAUCGCCUGUGCUGCCGACGGCAUUUCCAUGCCGCUGCACCCGGGCUUAUGGCUCCUGGAGGGAUGAUCGGAGUCUCGGAGAAUGCCCGCGGUGGUGACUUAGUUUUCAGUAGUUGAGGUGAGGAUUUAAGGAUACCUCCGUGCUUCACACACCUAAUUCCCGUGAGCGGUGAAGCCAGCGGCGCAGGAUAACGCGGGGGCCAUUACGCACGCGAGGCUUCUUGUACAUUACCAGGACCAAUAGAGCGUGCUCGUAUCUCAUUCCGGCAAAAACUCCCCAGCUCACACAUUUCACCGAUGGUGCUGAAUCGAUGGUCCUCCGUCUCCGUUCCGAGACGUUGAAUUGUUCGGUUGACAUUCUUUUUUUAGGAGGUAAAUCCCCUCAGGAGCCAAUAGGCCGCCUAUCAGACGUCUUGAGCCUGUGUUGCUUCUCCAAGGGUGAUGGGAAGUGGGGGAAGCAGCGAUCACGGC
ensembl:lncRNA